UAUAAAAUUUUGGGGUGGGGGUGUGAGAAGAGACUGGGGGGUGUGAGAAGAAGAGGCUGGGGGGCAGGCGUCUGGCUGCCCUGCGCUAGCUAUAGCGCCUGCAGCAGGGGCGCCACCAGUAGUGCCUGACCCCUGGGCGCUACCAAAGGCGCCCGCGUCAGGGACGCUACCUGCUGUGUCACGUGUCACGUGCACAGUGGAGACGCCUCUUUACAAUAAAAAAAAUAGACCCUCCCCAAAAAUAAUUGCAAAAGAGCCCAUUUUUAAUAAAUAAUUUAUAAAAGUGCCCAUUUUAGUGUUUUUGCCUACACAUCUCCAUUAAAGUUUCCUGGAAAGCUAGCAAUUGACGUCCUUAAUAACAGGCUUUUUAUUUCUGACAGCAACCACAACCGCAUAGUUUACUAUUGCAAGGAAGAUGAAGUUUGUUUGUACCAGUCUUUGCUGUUUGAGGUCCCCUUCGAAGAGGGAGUUUCUAACCCUGCCAAAGCAGACGUCACUCUUGCACAUUUUGUGAAACCCGAAACUUCAACCAGCAACUUCCUGCUGUCAGUUACCCCCUGAGUCUGUGGCACCUUAAACCAGGUUCUUCUACCGCUUCUUUCUCUUGCUCAUCUUUUGUUUAUUUUUCUGUAUAUACUAGUAAUAUUGUAAUGCUUGAGAGUCAUGAUCUUUCUUUCUGAUACAAUCCAUCAUAAGUUCAUAACUAACAAAAAUUAAGGCUUUUGUCUA